rnacentral:lncRNA from 1 species
GUUCACUGGAAAAUGUAACAAAUAAUUUCAAGGUUAUGUCACUCUUGGCAAGCACAGUAACGCUGGUGAAAAAAAGGGAAGUUUUCAGAGCAAGGCAAAGACUGAAAUCUUGUUUGGAGCCACCAGUCUACAAAGCCCGCAGUGGAACCAUAGUGCUCAGAUUCACAGGGGUCUCUGAUGCUCCCAGAUAUGGAAUGCCAACUGACUCUAAGAAGGAUGUGCCUGAAGGAAGCUGGGCAGAGGACCCUGGCUGCCUUCUGCAGUGCCUCUCGUGCCACGGAGAGAUGAAUCACAUCCUCUCUGCAUACUUCUGGUCAAGCGUAUGCAAGCCUGUGGCUGACACACUUCAUCCCACAGGGCAGAAGACCAACAAAAUGCAAAGCAAGUUUGUAACAACAGACUUUAGGAACCCCUGGAAAUUGAUUAGAAGCAUCACAUUAUAG